AACGAACGCUGGCGGCAGGCUUAACACAUGCAAGUCGAACGCAUCCUUCGGGGUGAGUGGCAGACGGGUGAGUAACGCGUGGGAACGUGCCCUUCAGUUCGGGAUAACCCAGGGAAACUUGGGCUAAUACCGGAUACGUGCGAGAGCAGAAAGAUUUAUCGCUGAAGGAUCGGCCCGCGUCUGAUUAGCUAGUUGGUGGGGUAAUGGCCCACCAAGGCGACGAUCAGUAGCUGGUCUGAGAGGAUGAUCAGCCACAUUGGGACUGAGAAACGGCCCAAACUCCUACGGGAGGCAGCAGUGGGGAAUAUUGGACAACGGGCGCAAGCCUGAUCCAGCAAUGCCGCGUGAGUGAUGAAGGCCUUAGGGUUGUAAAGCUCUUUCGUCCGGGACGAUAAUGACGGUACCGGAAGAAGAAGCCCCGGCUAACUUCGUGCCAGCCGCCGCGGUAA
rnacentral:rRNA from 1 species